UCUGUAUAACUGUAACACUAAAAUAUGAUUUUUAUUGAUUUGGAUGUUUUUUUUUUUUGUGAAAAAUAAAUGCUGAUGUCGCCUACAUCCCAGAGAGGAGUUACAUACGAUCCGAAUGCUGCAUGUGUUACAUAAGAUCUGAACAGUACAUCAAAAUGCAAAUGAUAAAGUGAGAAUAUUCUCUGUUUAGGUGAAAUCAGGUCCAUGAUUUCACCACAAGAGGGCGUAAUUUCAACCCUAGAUUACUUCUUUGUUAAAGGUGCCAAAGAAUGCAUUGAAAUAAUAUGUUAAAUUGUUGUUUGAUUUUACAAAGAAGGCAUGUAACUUUAAUAAGUGCAACAAUAAUCUAGAAACGUUUUUACAUGUCCAUUUACAACCCUACACUGUAAACAAUUGCUGUAAAUUAACAGCCAAUUUUCAACACUAAAAUACUGUUUUCAUGUUAAACAGUUUAGUACUGUAGUUAGCAAUGCAUUGUGGGCUGCUUAAAUUGGAGCAACAAGACAGAGGCCCUCAACAGUAAGUUGAUGUUUUAAAUUACAGGACAAUACAGUAUUUUUUUGAAAAUGCGUGUUGACUGGGGAAUUUGGAGCAUGGUCAGAAGCUAAGCAAUGUCUUAUAAAUUGAGGCUAGCCUAUUGCUUUUGGUCAAUUUUCUUUAAAAAAAUACAGAAAUAAUUUGCCAUUAACUCCUGGAUGGAAUUUCGGAAACCAUUAUUUGGAUUGGAGAUUUUUCAGAAGAGGACGUACAAUUUAGAUGACGUGCUGCACAUUCUCAAGUGUUCUUCAUCAAAUUCAUUGGGUCUUGCAUCUACAAAUGAAACGGUAAUUCAAAUCUUAUUCAUAUUGCCAAGAAUGCUUGAUAUCAACUGAUAGAAGCUUGUCUUGCUAGGGAUUUAAACAUGUCAUUUAACAGUGAGGCUUAGAUUUGAAUAGCCAAAACAAUAUUACUUUUGAGUGGUAUUUUGUUUAAUUUUGGUAACGUUAGCCAUAGGCUACUUCUGAAUUUGAGAAACAACACUUAUUAAAGAAUUUAUUUCAAUCAAACCAUAGGAUUAUAUGAACAUCGACUAUCCGAGAUGGUUUUGGUGAGUUUUAUUUUGUUUGUGUCGACUUUUAAUGAAAAGUAUUUUACAAACAGUUAACAAGAAAAUAAAGCUAAUUGUAGUUUGGUUAAAGUUGAAUAGUCAAUGCUUUGCAUUUUUCUUUUUAAACGCCAAAUUGGUGUAAAAAUAUUGUCUUUCUGGACUCUUUGUGAAUGCAAUGUGUGUACUAGUUUGUGGGAGUACUACUACAUAUGUAAAAAGAGAGGUGUAAAUUAUUUUGUGGUUUAAAGGAUGCUGCAUGUAAAUUGUUACCCUUUAAAUUUUGGAUGUCAAAUCUAUUUAGAAGUUUGAUUGUACUUCAGAAGCCUACCUCGUUCACCUCUUGGUUACAUUCCACCGAGUGUUUAUUAAUUAUUGUCCUUUUUAUAAAUGUUCUUCUUAAAAAUCUUAUUAUGGUAAGGAUAAUGUAUUUGUUCCCUUCAGGUAUCUGCCACUGCAGCUGACGUUGAGACAACUCUCAGUCUUCCUGCAAAUACUCGCCUGAUACCUGUUUCAAGUGCAACAAGGCAAGUCACAAUUAAAGGUUGGAUGAUCACCUUUAAGGGCUGUGUAAUCUCUAUGGGCAUAACACCAACAUUUGCAAUUGGACUUGCUGCUAUGUUUGCAACCUACUACAUUUUCAGCCUUCAGUAUCAAGAUGAGACAGCCUGCCCUCUGGAAUUCAAAAUUAAUGUGUUUGUAUUUUAUGCAUAAAAUGAAAUUAGUACUGUACAUUUCAAGCCUCAACAUUUACACACCUACACACACACACACGCACACACACACACAGACACACGCACACGCACACACACACACAGACACACGCACACACACACACACACACACACACACACACACACACACACACACACACACACACAUACAGGGUAUAGACUUUAUUAUAAUUCCACUUGAUGUCAUCAAAUCCACUCAAUUUGUGCAAUGAAGAAAGACAAAAAACAAUUAAUUGCUUUUGAUUUCAGGCGCUUCAUUGAUAUAAAUCCAGAGAGAGGGACAAAUGCCAAAAUCAUCAGACAAGAUUGUCUCUUAGAUAUAAGGUGUGAUCGUCCAGAAGUCGUCUUCUGCAGUCAAAUACACACGUGGCCAUGCUACUGAAGGAUCUCCUUGACUUUUUAAUGGAACUUCAUAUAGAUCUUGACAGCACUGGAAUAAUGCUGCAGAGAGGAACAGCGGCUACUAAAGUGAUGAUCGUCUCUUCUGGAUCCACAAGAACUAAGAUGUAAAAACACAAGCCUACCUCACAGGACAAUUUUAAGAGGUAACCUGCAAGUCUAGCUUGCAGUGGCACAGGUGCCUACCCUACGGUUUCAUCCUAAAUGUUUUUUUAUGCAUAUUAUUGAUACAUCCUGACAAAAUGUUCUACUGUACUAUAAUAGUUUCAAAAUGGCCUUAGGUAUGUUUUCAAACUUAUGUCUUAAAUAAAAAAGUAAACUAUAGGUUAUGCCCUUCACAUUUGGUUAGGAUUAGGGGCAGUCUCUGACGAGCAAUUUAAGAACGUACGUUUAUUGCCAUAGUCUAAAGCAAAACACUACUGUUUCUGUUUACUACUUGAAAGCUCUUUUCAGCAUUGUCCAACAGGAUUUAUUUUCUUUCCUUUUUUUGUAUUCAUGUUGACAUAGACAUUGCUCUUUGAAAUAAAGGUGUUUGAUUUGGAAGUUUUUGUUGCUUAUUUUGCAUAAUAUUCACAAUAAUGCAUAUCUUAAGCAGUUGUCUUUAGCCCUGGAAAAUCAUUGGGCAAGUUCAUGGGAGACUGAUAUUUUAAAUAUCAAUGAAAAAUUUUUAGAGACUAAAUUUAUGUUAUUUAAA